rnacentral:rRNA from 1 species
AUGAGGUUCAUGAGUGUGUGUGGAUUUGUUGGCAGGGCAAGGCUCAACAUUAAUCUGCCGAGGUUUUGGAAGGCUGACACAGAAACACGGCGAAGGAUAGUCCAGGAGAUCAUGGAUCACUUCAAUGUUCUAGAGCAGUGGAGAAUGCAGGUUGAACACGCUGCACUGAAGAAGGCUAUGGAUGCUUGGAGAAACUGGAAGCACGUGCUGUACAAAAAGUACUUGAGUGAAGGCAAGGACCUAAUCCCCGCAUACCCCCAAAUUACAAAGGCAGAUUGGGCAGAAUUCAAAAGGGUCAGGGCAACUCCAGAGUUUGCUGAGAACAGUUUCAAGCAAUCAGAACUUCAGAAGAAGACCAUACACCCCCACCGUAUGGGUGUGGCAGGAUACUACGACAUGAAACUGAUAUGGGAACAGGAGGACAAAGAAGCAGUAGCGGCGGGUGGGAAUCCGACCUUUAGUGAAAUCACGGGCAAACGCGCCAGAGACUACUUGCGGGAACAUGCAAAGAGGCGUGAUGACGGAACUUAUUACUUUGAAAACGCACGUGAUGCCAAACUGUAUGAAGUGAUGGUAGAGGCUUCCAAGAUCCCUGAAAGGUUCUACAGGAACUCAGGGCCAUGUGACAUUCUGUCCAUUGCUUUGGACACAAAAGAGCCCCCUAGCUGUGCAAGGGGUAUAGGUGUUAAUGUCCCGCACAAGAGGGCUUUCACACUCAGCAAAGAAGAGAGGCUCAGCAUGAAAAAAGCGAGGAGUGAAAUGAAGCAGAAUGCAUUGUAUGAAAAGUUGAAGAAGGAGAUUUAUCCGGCUGUUCGAAAGGAUGUUGAGGAGUCAAUGUUGAUGCAGAAGACUCUAGCACUAACAGAUAGCCAGCAGAUGGGAGGGGAGGCGGGCAUGGAGGAUGCUGCUUAUUGUGCGGACUGCAGCUGCUCGUGA